UCUUAUCUAGAGAGGCGGAGGGACAUGGCCCGAUGAAACCUCAGCAACCGCAGGCGCUGCCUGAAAGGUGCUAAUUCCAUCAAAGUUUUGCGAAACUUUGAAAGAUGAGA
rnacentral:ncRNA from 1 species